CCUAAAAUCCGAAUUUGAAGUCUUGAGGUGUUUUGGUUUCGGCUCUCGUGAGAAUCGGUUUUACUUCCUUUCAUCUUGGGAUUGUAUUGCACGCCUCAGGUUUAGCAAGCUAAAGGUCGUUGAUGAAAUAAGGAGAGGCGUGGGUAGAUAGCAAGUGAUGAUGACAUUAGUUUACCCAU